GGCUUUUUGAUAAUAAUUUAAGGUCUAGCCUGCCCAAUGAUGAAGUAUUAAAUGGCCGCGGUAUCUUGACCGUGCAAAGGUAGCAUAAUCAUUAGUUUUUUAAUUGGAAGCUUGUAUGAAAGGUUUAAUGAAAAAAUAGCUGUCUCUAUUUUAAUUUUUUAGAAAUUUAUUUUUAAGUUAAAAAGCUUAAAUGAGUAUUAAAGACGAGAAGACCCUAUAGAGUUUUAUAAUUUUAUGAAAUUAUUAUAUUUUGGGAUUUUUUAAUAAUUUUUUGAGAUUAUUUGGUUGGGGUGAUUGAAAAAUUGAUAAAACUUUUUUGUUAGGAUUUCAUUGAUUUGUGAGUUUUUGAUCUUUAUUAAAGGUUAAUAAAUAAAAUUACCUUAGGGAUAACAGCGUAAUUUUUUUUAGAGUUCUUAUCGAAAAAAAAGAUUGCGACCUCGAUGUUGGAUUAAAAUUAAUUAUUGGUGUAGAAGCUAAUAGGUUAGGUCUGUUCGACCUUUAAAUUUUUACAUGAUCUGAGUUUAAACCGGUGUGAG
rnacentral:rRNA from 1 species